AUUUGAACUUUGGGGUCCCUUCUUCUGAUGAAUAUCCAUUGUGGACUAUCACUGACCGUACUCAAGGUGAAGUCUGUAAACUUCAGAGAUAAUUUAAACUUCACAGAUUUUCUCAUGGGUGAGAUGUGUGAAUCUGCACUUCAGAUAUUACAUCAGAAUUAGUAAUUCUGGCAAGAUUUGUUUGUCGUUGACCUCUGAAACAGCCUAGGGAUAUGAGGAUCUGUCAGUUUCAGUUUCUCAUUUUUCCAAUCUUAAGUUCAAUUCUCCACCUUUCCAUAUCAGUUUUUGACUUUUUUUAAAGGGCCUCAUGAAAAUUCAUAAGCAUUCAUCUGCAUUUUUCCUCGUAAACAUAUUUUUGUAUGCAAUUUUGCCUGAGACACACAUUUUGGAAAAGCAAUUUCCACUCAUAUAAUGAUUGCUUGUAAUUCAUUUUCUAUUUUUUAAAAUUUUUUUAGAAAGUUUUUUACUGAAAACAUCCAUACAACCACAGAAAACAGACAAAGAAAGAAUACACAAUUCAUACAUAACCUAACUCCCACCACCCAUAACACCCCUGUGACUUCCCUGCACCGCAACUCAACAUCCUUAAGUCCUAGAAAUUCAUCUACCAUUGCAUCUUUUAUAUAUUACUUCUCAUAUAUGCCUUACUAUUUAUUAAUUUAAUUUAUUCUUUACAUACCUCGUCCAUGCAUAUCAACAUAUUCUCUUUAGAAAAGUGAUUUUUCAUAUAAUCUUCAAAACAUUGCCAUUCUGAUUUUAGUUUUUUAUUUGUCUGAUGUCUUAUGGCUGCUGUUAACCUUGCCAAUUCUAUGAAUUCAUUUAGUUUGCAUAUCCAAUCUUCUUUUGUAGGUAUGUUAUUCAAUCUCACUAAUAUAUGCAUUUUAAUGCAUAUUUUACCCUAGUACAUAUUACUUGGCUGUAGAACUGCACUGACAAAUUAUGAGAAGUAAGAAUUUCAAAGAAUGGCUGUGUUUCAGUUCGUGUAUUUUUUCAGAAACCGUGAACUGGGUAGGUUUUUUAAUGGACUCUGAAUCGAAACUCUCCCCCAGCCUUAAUAAGAGUCUCAUUGAUGCAAAAUAAGAUACCAGCAAUUUAAGUCAGAUGAGGAAGUCUAAUACUAGAUAUGACCCGCAACCCAGACCGGUCAUUUACCCCCAUGAAACCUUUUGAUUGUGAUAAGCAAGAUUUUCUUAGCUGUAAUAAAGUGACAUUCUCUCGCUAGGAAUGAAAUAUUAUCUCUCCUCCCAAGAGAUUCAUUUCCCCUCAACUUGUUGAGAUUGAGCCCUAGGCCACCUGCAUGUGAGCUAUCAGGAAACACGGUGCUCUCACUUAACCACCAGACAGCUAUCCAAAUAGCAAAGCGAGGGGCUAUCAGAGUUAAUGCUGGUGUGUGCUAAAAUAAAAGAACUCUCUGAGGUACAGCCAUGUUGCUCUUGCCAUUUGUCAGGUGUAUAAUCACCCUGGAGAAUAGGAAUAGUCAGGCCUUUGUAAAACUAUGAAUCAAUGUUCUCUGAACAAUUCAACUACUGUGUUUAGGUCAGGUCAAUACCUUCCUGUCUCCAAACACUACUUAAGCCCUCCUGCCUUGCAGGGCCCAUUACAUCAAGAGAUAUCGCUAGUGCUGCUGAAAAUCACAGCUUGCAAUGUAAUACGAAGAGAUCCCUCUUAAUAGCCCUUUCAUAUGAACAGCGGUUGGGGGAGUUGCCUGGGAACAUUAAUCCUUGUUUUCAAAAUGAUGCCCCAUAACUCUGCGGCUAUAAUGUGGAGAGGAGAGGAUUUGAUGUGUGUGCAGGCAGAAGUCAGAACUGCAGUAAAACAUUUUACUUCUAGAAAUUUGAGCAAAGUCACUUUCAUAUAUACAAUACUGUAUGGUUUUUGAAGGCGCCUUGAAUUCACUUCCAACUAAUACAGUGGUACCUCGGGUUAAGAGCUUAAUUUGUUCUGGAGGUCCGUUCUUAACCUAAAACUGUUCUUAAUCUGAGGUACCACUUAAGCUAAUGGGGCCUCCCACUGCUGCUGCGCCACCACCAAAUUUCUGUUCUCAUCCUGAAGCAAAGUUCUUAACCCAAGGUACUAUUUCUGGGUUAGCGGAGUCUGUAACCUGAAGCGUCUGUAACCUGCAGUAUCUGUAACCUGAAGCAUCUGUAACCCGAGGUACCACUGUAAUGGAGAAUUUUCAGGAAAAUGGAGUGGCUUCCAAGUUUGCAAAGUGGUUUGGGAGUUCCACAGCAGGAAACAGCUCAAUGGCAGAGCAUUUGCCUUGCAUGCACCCCAAGUUCAAUCCCUGGCAGCUCCAGAUAGAGCUCAAAGAGAACUGCUGCCAAUCCGUGUAGACAUUGUUGUUGUUUAGUCAUUUAGUCAUGUCCGGCUCUUCGUGACCCCCUGGACCAGAGCACGCCAGGCCUUCCUGUCUUCCACUGCCUCCCGCAGUUUGGUCAAACUCAUGCUGGUAGCUUCGAGAACACUAUCCAACCAUCUCGUCCUCUGUCGUCCCCUUCUCCUUGUGCCCUCCAUCUUUCCCAACAUCAGGGUCUUUUCCAUGGAAUCUUCUCUUUUCAUGAGGUGGCCAAAGUAUUGGAGCCUCAGCUUCACGAUCUGUCCUUCCAGUGAGCACUCAGGGCUGAUUUCCUUCAGAAUGGAUAGGUUUGAACUUCUUGCAGUCCUUGGGACUCUCAGGAGUCUCCUCCAGCACCAUAAUUCAAAAGCAUCAAUUCUUUGGCGAUCAGCCUUCUUUAUGGUCCAGCUCUCACUUCCAUACAUCACUACUGGUGAAACCAUAGCUUUAACUAUACGGACCUUUGUUGGCAAGGUGAUGUCUCUGCUUUUUAAGAUGCUGUCUAAGUUUGUCUUUGCUUUUGUCCCAAGAAGCAGGCAUCUUUUAGUUUCGUGGCUGCUGUCACCAUCUGCAGUGAUCAUGGAGCCCAAGAAAGUAAUGUGUAGACAUUACUGAGCUAGAUAGACUAAUGGCCUGACUCAAUAGAAGCCAGCUCCCAUGUUCCUAAGCUUCUGGAAAAGAAAGAUAGGAAAUUUGUAAUGGCCACCCCGCCCCUUGAAUCAUAAGCCACAAGCUUCAUCAUCCUUGCUACUAUUUAAAAGCUGGUGCCGUGUAGAUGGGACAUCUUUAGCCUCAUUUAUGAACUCACAAUGGCCUUAGGCAAGCCAUGGUGGUAUCUACCUAACCCUUUGCUACCAUGCUGUUUGUUUUCUGGCUGAAAUGGUGGCUGCAAGUGGGAAGUGCAUAUUGCAGGGCUUCGUUCUGGUGGUCCAUGGCAUUUCCGUGAAAAACGGUGGGAUCAGUGGCUGCGAAUGGCAAGUGUAGUGAUUCCUCCAUCAUCCUAAUAGCCAGGGGUGUCUGUCUGGAAGGUGAGGGGGUUGUACCAAAGUGAUGGGCAGAGGAAGAGACUUUAAAGGAGGGGAGAGGUUUAGGCACAAGAAAUAAUGAUGAUGAUAACAGAAGCAAAAAAACACUCCACAAUUAAAAUAUCCUACAGCAUCUAUAAUAAUAAUAAUAAUUUAUUAUUUAUACCCCACCCAUCUGGUUGGGUUUCCCCAGCCACUCUGUGUGGCUUCCAACUGAAUAUUAAAAACAAUACAGCAUCAGACAUUAAAAAGAUCCCUAUACAGGGCCUCCUUCAGUUGUCUUUUAAAAGUAAAAUAGUUGUUUAUUGCCUUGACUUCUGCUGGGAGGGCGUUCCACAGGGCAGGCACCACUACCGAGAAGGCCCUCUGCCUGGUUCCCUGUAACCUCACUUCUCACAGUGAGGGUACCACCAGAAGGCCCUCGGAGCUGGGCCUCAGUGUCCGGGCUGGAUGAUGGGGGUGGAGACGCUCCUUAAGGUAUACAGGAUAUAACACAGUAUGAUUGCUGCAAUAUGCAAAACAACAACAACAACAACAACAACACACACAAAAACCCCCAAACCAUUAAGUGGUCUGCCAAGACCCUCAGAAAGUUUCAGUUGGUCCCUGGUGGGAAAGUUUUUGUACCUGGCAUAUCACUUUUAAGAGAGCCUGCAUGAGAGUCUCCUUCUCAAAAGUCUGGAUAGAGUUUCUUUCUUUCUCUUUCUUAGCCUUAAAACUGAGACAGUGUGCCCGUGGCUCAAAAACUGGUGUUUUUUCUUUUCUUUUUUGGUUACAGAACACUGUUGUGAAGGUACCCGAGUCUUCUGUGUGUAGCCUGAUGACCAAAGCUUUGGAGUGACUAAGCACAACCCACAUAUCAACCACUCCCAAGGGACAUUGCAGCCAGUCGGGGAGGACACAAUUUUUGCAAAGAGGUGUCUGCAAAGAGAUUACAGGAGUGC